CAGCAGCCGCGGGAAUACGGGGGGUGCAAGCGUUAAUCGGAAUUACUGGGCGUAAAGCGCACGCAGGCGGUCUGACAAGUCAGAUGUGAAAUCCCCGGGCUUAACCUGGGAACUGCAUUUGAAACUGUCAGGCUGGAGUCUUGUAGAGGGGGGUGGAAUUCCAGGUGUAGCGGUGAAAUGCGUAGAGAUCUGGAGGAAUACCGGUGGCGAAGGCGGCCCCCUGGACAAAGACUGACGCUCAGGUGCGAAAGCGUGGGGAGCAAACAGGAUUAGAUACCCCAGUAGUCCCUGUCUCUUAUAC
rnacentral:rRNA from 1 species